CUCUUCUUGUUGUAAAUAUGAAGUAUAAUCUGCCCACUGAUAUAUAUUUGAAGGGCCGCGGUAUUUUGACCGUGCAAAGGUAGCAUAAUAAUUAGUCUUUUAAUUGUGGACUGGAAUGAAUGAUUGGACGAGGAAUAUACUGUUUCUUAUUAUAUUAUUGAAUUUAUUAUUUAAGUUAAAAACCUUAAAUAUUUUUAUGGGACGAGAAGACCCUAUAGAGUUUAUACUUAUUAUUUAUUUUGUUUGUUUGAUAAUUUAUUUAUUAUUUAAUAAGUUUUGUUGGGGUGAUAGAAAGAAUUAAUUAACUCUUUUUUAAUUAAUACAUUUAUUUAUGUUAAGUUGAUCCAUUUUAUAUUGAUUAUAAGAUUAAAUUACCUUAGGGAUAACAGCGUAAUCUUUUUUGAGAGUUCUUAUCGAUAAAUGGGUUUGCGA
rnacentral:rRNA from 1 species